CUAUCUAAUUUGGUAAGUAACAAAAUUAAAAAAGAAAACAUAUAUUUAUGUAGGGUUGAUCAAAUUUGAUAAUUAGUUUUUAUUUGUUUUUCCAUAUUACCUUUACGAAUUGUAAUCUGUUGAGCAGGUAAUCACUAUGCAAAAGACAAUCUCGCCCUUAAAAUAUGAAGGGCUAUAUUUAAUUUAUCUGGUGUAUUGAAGCAUUCCUCUUAUUAUUAAACUGGCCGCUUUACCAGCCGAAAGUCUAAAAUGUCUCUCAUAUAUCGUUUAAUGAUUCUGAGUUAGAAAAUAUGUUUUUACCGGUGCCUAUAUAAAAAAAAAAAUAAAAAAAAAAUAAAAUUAAACCUAACAAGAUCAUCUCCUCGUUGAAAAGGACGGAGGGCUAUAACAAUAAUAACUAGGCUUACAUAUUUUGGUUCAGCAGUUUAGACCCAAUAAAUUAUUAAUAUUAUUGGACCGAAUAGUUACAAAAAAUAUAUUCAACAUUAUUAUUUUUUUUAUUUUCCUUUACUAGCUAGACUCUUUAUCAUUUUAU
rnacentral:lncRNA from 1 species